UACGUAGGGUGCAAGCGUUGUCCGGAAUUUAUUGGGCGUAAAGAGCUCGUAGGCGGUCUGUCACGUCGGAUGUGAAAACUCGGGGCUCAACCCCGAGCCUGCAUACGAUACGGGCAGACUUGAGUUCGGCAGGGGAGACUGGAAUUCCUGGUGUAGCGGUGAAAUGCGCAGAUAUCAGGAGGAACACCGGUGGCGAAGGCGGGUCUCUGGGCCGAUACUGACGCUGAGGAGCGAAAGCGUGGGGAGCGAACAGG
rnacentral:rRNA from 1 species